UACGUAGGGUGCAAGCGUUAAUCGGAAUUACUGGGCGUAAAGCGUGCGCAGGCGGUUGUGCAAGACAGAUGUGAAAUCCCCGGGCUCAACCUGGGAAUUGCAUUUGUGACUGCGCGGCUAGAGUGUGUCAGAGGGGGGUAGAAUUCCACGUGUAGCAGUGAAAUGCGUAGAGAUGUGGAGGAAUACCGAUGGCGAAGGCAGCCCC
rnacentral:rRNA from 1 species